rnacentral:lncRNA from 1 species
CUAUGAUAUUUACUUAGUGACUAUAUUGUUACAUGAUAUGUUACUCCCCAUAAAAUUUUUCGUUUUGUAAUAUAGUGAGCAUCUGCUAUACCUCAGAGGGAAAGGACAAUGACAAAUCUAACUGACAGUUCCUAGUUUCUAUUUUUCACCUCCUAAUUGACAAUUCGAUGCUCCAUCGCGUUAGUGCUUCUAUUCAGAUAUUUUGCAUUUUUCAGAUGGGUCAAAUUUUCCAGUUACCUUGUAGUUGGUAUUUACCUUAGAAUCGUGAGGACUAUAUUGUUACAUGAUAUAUUAGUCCCCAUGAAAUUAUUCCUUUUGUAAUAUAGUGAGCAUCUGCUACAUCAGAGGGAAAGGGCAAUGAAAAAUCUAACUGACAGGGUUUCUAUUUUUCACCUCCUAGUUGACAAUUCGAUGCUCCAUCACAUUAGUGCUUCUAUUCAGAUAUUUUGUCAUUUUUCAGAUGGGUCGAAUUUUCCAGUUAUCUUGUAGUUGGUAUUUAUCUUAGAACCGUGAGAGGAGAGGGCACUAACCAAUUUUAAUGUCAACAAAAACACAU